rnacentral:tRNA from 2 species
GGCACUGUAGCUCAGUUGGUAGAGCACAUGCUUAACAUCUGACAGAUGAUGGUUCGCAUGUUGUCGUCGGUUCGAGCCCGGCCAGAGUCA